rnacentral:piRNA from 1 species
UGGUUAAGUAGUUCAGGUAAACUUGGC